rnacentral:lncRNA from 1 species
CGUGGCGAAAAUCCUUGUGGCGACGCACCAAUUUUCUUAUUCUCACACUUACCUCGUGGCCGCCGCCUGAAUCCUCGCCAAGUACCGACUUUUGAGUUUUGAGGCUAAUCUCGACACUAACGCUAGGUCACAGUGUCUGAACUGAUCAUUCAAAGUCGCGUAUUGAACGUCUGGCAUGUUCAAAAUCUAAUCAUCAAUUACGUAGCACGGUAGAAUGGACGUCAUGAUGCUUCCUCGAGGGUACGAAACCGCUAUCAUGAUUACCCCUUGGAGUUCUCAAUUGGGACAUAAAAAGAUUUGAAGAUUUGCCUGGAGUCUUUGACACUUGACAGAUCUGUUGGACAGACGAGGCCCGGACGUGCUUGACGGAUGGAUGGAGGAAUUGCCGAGCAGAUGAUCCAAGUACGACCCAUUGUGUGACUUGACAGAGGAGAGUGCUGCCAGUAACUUAUUGGGGGCGGACCGAGGAGUCGAAGGAAUAAGCGUCUGACUCUGAAUUCUGUCGGACAGUACAGCACUCUAGUUUCUUAGCUUACGGAGAAGCAAUAAGUUCCGAACUGUGAGUCUUUCCAACAUUGGCAUCCAGAAGGAUUGGCAGGCAGGGUUAUGAGCGAUGCCAUAAUAAUAUGAAUUGCGGACUUUGGGAAGUACUUUUCCGGAAUCACUAGGAUGGACAACCAUUACCCUUUCGAGGACCAUACCAACAAACCAAUCAAAGCCCUUUAAUUCGGUUAUUAUUAUGGCACUUAGAGUGGUUCGUAUUAAUUACCCUCGCGCGUCUUCGUAGUCAUUUACCAUUCGUCGGAUGGCUAGGGUCCUCAGACUC